GCCGUUAUGGCGCAGUUGGGAGCGCGUUAGACUGAAGAUCUAAAGGUCCCCAGUUCGAUAGCAGUC
rfam:Salpingoeca sp. ATCC 50818 unplaced genomic scaffold supercont1.8, whole genome shotgun sequence.